GACGAACGCUGGCGGCGUGCUUAACACAUGCAAGUCGAACGGUAAGGCCCUGCUUUUGUGGUGUGCUCGAGUGGCGAACGGGUGUGUAACACGUGAGUAACCUGCCCUUGACUUUGGUAUAACUUCAGGACACUGUGUCUAAUACCGUAUAGGAGCUCCUGCUGCAUGGUGUGGUUUGGAAAGUUUCGGCGGUUGGGGAUGGACUCGCGGCUUAUCAGCUUGUUGGUGGGGUAGUGGCUUACCAAGGCUUUGACGGGUAGCCGGCCUGAGAGGGUGACCGGCCACAUUGGGACUGAGAUACGGCCCAGACUCCUACGGGAGGCAGCAGUGGGGAAUAUUGCACAAUGGGCGGAAGCCUGAUGCAGCAACGCCGCGUGCGGGAUGACGGCCUUCGGGUUGUAAACCGCUUUCGCCUGUGAAGAAGCGAGAGUGACGGUAAUGGGUAAAGAAGCACCGGCUAACUACGUG
rnacentral:rRNA from 1 species